rnacentral:rRNA from 1 species
UGUCCGCCAGGGGACUACGAGCUUCAGCUUGAAACCCAAAGGACUUGGCGGAGCUUAAUAUCCAUCUAGAGGAGCCUGUUAUAGAACCGAUAACCCCCGUUAAACCUCACCCUCUCUUGUUCUUACCGUCUAUAUACCGCCGUCGUCAGCCUACCCUGUGAAGAACUCAUAGUAGGCAAAAUUAGCAUAGCCCAAAACGUCAGGUCGAGGUGUAGCAAAUGAGGGGGGAAGAAAUGGGCUACAUUUUCUGCAACCAGAACAUACGAAAAAGUGAUUGAAACAUCUAUUAGAAGGAGGAUUUAGCAGUAAGAGGUAAGUAGAGAGUACCCCUGAAGGAGGCCCUAAAGCGCGCACACACCGCCCGU